rfam:Dipodomys ordii contig_11758, whole genome shotgun sequence.
GGUGGCUCAGUGGUAGAACGCUUGCCUUACAUGCAUGAAGCCCUGGGUUCGAUUCCUCAGCACCA